rnacentral:rRNA from 1 species
UGCGUAGACGGUAUGUUAAGUUCGUUGUUAAAGGCUCCGGCCUAACCGGAGUACCGCAAUGAAAACUGGCGUGCUAGAGGGUGAGAGAGAGAAGUGGAAUUCCCGGAGUAGCGGUAAAAUGCGUGGAUCUCGGGAGGAACACCAAUGGCGAAGGCAGCUUCUUGGCUCAUUCCUGACGUUGAGGCACGAAAGCGUGGGGGAGAAACA